GCAGCCCGCGGGCUACGCGGGGCGGGGUCGAGCAGCGGCCUGGGUCUCGGAGGGCGGUGGCCCCGGCUCCGCUUUCUCCCGUGGGGCUUCUGCUUUGGCCUUUGUGGGGCGGGGGUGUCCCGUCGGCUCGGGCAGGAUGGGGGCGGGCCGCUGACGUCCGCGAGGGCGGAGCGUACUUGUUUUCGCGGCCGCGGGCGUUUAGCCGAAGGUUCCCGGCCACCGCGGCGUUGGGCCUGGCGUGGUCACUUGUGGGCGCCCGGUGCGUGCAGCGGAAGGUGGAACCGAACUCCGGGCCGGCGGCACACGCGCCGGCGGCAGCCCGCUUUUUGUCUUCCUCCUCGCUGUCCUCGGGGCUGCGGCGACUGGAAAGGCUUCGCCUCCGGAGUUACGCUCUUCCCGGGAUCCGAGAGGCGGCGGGUGCGCUGAAACGCGGGAGGUGCGUGGCGCCCGCGGAGACUCCGAGGGCUGUGUUGGUGCUUGAGUGGGCAGUGCUCGAAGACCAGACCAAGGUCUUCCGUGGGUGUAGAAGAUCGGCCCGGAACGCUUAGUGGAGUGCCUUGGUGACAUUACCAUGUGUCUGUAUUUAUCUGUGCACCACAUGUGUGCUUAGAGCAUCUGGAGGCCAGAAGAGAGCAUCAGAUCACCUGAAGCUGGAGUAAGAAAAGGCUGAACCCUGAGCUGCCACAUGGGUGCUCAUAAUCAAGCCGGGGGCCUGACAGGGCAGCCAGUGCUCUUAACCACUGAGCAGCAAAAAGAAGAAGAAGAAAGCUGGCAUUAAAGGUGUGCACCGCCACCUGCCCCGAGUGUUGAAAUUGCAGGCCUGUGCCACCACACCCUGUGCAAGGAGUCUUUUAAUUUAAUUUUUUGUACUUCUGUCGUGUGGGUGGGCUUGAAUGUCAGGGUAAGGAUGGGGAGAAGAGGACUUGUUUGAGCUGGCUCUCUCUUUCCACAGUGUGUGUUCCAAGGAUUAAACCCAGGUCUGAUAUCAGGUGUGGUAACAAGCAUCUUACCCUGGGCCAUCACCACACAGGCCUUGUUGGUUGGUUGGUCGGUUGGUUCGGUUUUUUGUUUUGUUUUUAUUUAAACAGAUCACAACCAAGUUACUUGGACUAGAUACAGUGACACGCCUUUAGUCUCAGCACUUGGCAGGCAGAGGGAGGCAGAUCUCUGUGGUAGCCUGAUCUACAAUAGCAAGUUCCAGCCAGUCAUAUAGAUGUAGGAGCUGUGCUGUAGAUGUAUCCAUUGGGGCUGGACUCUGUAUUGUGUCCAGUUGUGGUUUAUAAUUUGCCCCCAGAAUUUGGGGGGUUGGACCUAGUGCCCGUGGUGCUGAGCAACCAUUCUACCCACUGAACCAUACAUCCCAGCCCCCUUUUCUCUCUUAGAUGAAGUGAAGCAGAAUUUUCAUGAAGUGUAACAUAUAUAAAGUCCUGCUUAUCUGACAGUUUAACACAGUUUAACAUCUCCCUCCUCAGAUAGGAGCCUGUACCACACCAGGGUGCUGGGAAACCCAAGGGGUCUAGAUCACCUUAGUGCAGCCCAAACUUCCCUCAAAUUCAGUCUCACUAUGCAGAUGGCAUUGUCAUCUGCAUGGCAUAGUGUCUCACAUUCCCAUGUUGAGCCCUUGAGACUCCCAAGGAGGAGGAGGAGCCAGCUAGCUGCCAGGGUUGGUAGGCCAGUGCAAAUUCCACACACAGCUGAUAGGUCUAAAUCUGGGCCUUUCUAUUCUCACCACAUUCCUACACUGACUUUCGGGUGAUCUCAAAUGCCUGCCUGUUGGGUUGAUGGUAUCAUAAUGAGCUUGAUUUUUUUUUUAAUUAAAAAGGUUUAAUUUAUUAUUUUUUAUGAGGGUGUGUUUGUGUGUGUCUGUCUGAUUCUGCACUGUGUGCAUGCCUGGUACCCUUGGAGGUCAGAAGAGGACAUAAGGUCCCCUGGGGUCGGAGUUAUAGACAGUUGUGAACCAUCAUGUGGGUCUUCCACAAGAGCAACAAGUGCUCCUACCUUCUCACCGUCCCUCAGCUCAGAGGUAGGGUGCUCCUCUAGCUAAAUGUGAGUAAGGCCUGGAGCCCAGUUCCUAGCAUUGCAUUUCAGAAAAGAAAAUUGAGAAGCUUUGUGUGUUUGUCUCACUGUACAGCCCAAGCUGGCCUCAGAACUCAGGGUGAGGGCCUGGAGAGGUGGCUCAGCAGGUGAAAACACCGACUGCUAAGCCAGAUUUGACUCCCAGCACCACCCACAUGAUGGCUGGCAACCAGGGUAUCUGAUGGUCUCUUCUGACACGGCAAGCACCCAGUGAGCAUGUAGUGCACAGAAAGGCACGAAGGCAAAACACCCAUAUAAAAUGAACAAAUCUGGUCAGUGUAAACAAAAAAGUCCAAUACAGUUUACAUAAUUGUGCAUAUUUAAUAGCAAAAUGUAAAGAACUUACCAUUUUAAUUUGUAUGCAUUGUUAAUGAGUGUAUAAUUACACCACUUUCCCUUUCCUCCCUCCAGCCCCCACCAGGUCCCCUUCCUCCAACUCUCAAAUUGAUAGUCUCUUCUUCCUCUGUUAUUACUAUUAUGAAUGUGUAUGUUUAUGCAAAAAUAUAUACAUCUAACCUGCUGA